GGUAGUCCACGCCCUAAACGAUGCGAACUGGAUGUUGGGUUCAACUAGGAACUCAGUAUCGAAGCUAACGCGUUAAGUUCGCCGCCUGGGGAGUACGGUCGCAAGACUGAAACUCAAAGGAAUUGACGGGGGCCCGCACAAGCGGUGGAGUAUGUGGCUUAAUUCGAUGCAACGCGAAGAACCUUACCUGGCCUUGACAUGCACGGAACUUUCCAGAGAUGGAUUGGUGCCUUCGGGAACCGUGACACAGGUGCUGCAUGGCUGCCGUCAGCUCGUGUCGUGAGAUGUUGGGUUAAGUCCCGCAACGAGCGCAACCCUUGUCCUUAGUUGCCAGCACGUAAUGGUGGGAACUCUAAGGAGACCGCCGGUGACAAACCGGAGGAAGGUGGGGAUGACGUCAAGUCAUCAUGGCCCUUACGGCCAGGGCUACACACGUACUACAAUGGAAAGGACAGAGGGCUGCAAACCCGCGAGGGCAAGCCAAUCCCAGAAACCUUUUCUCAGUCCGGAUCGGAGUCUGCAACUCGACUCCGUGAAGUCGGAAUCGCUAGUAAUCGCAGAUCAGCAUUGCUGCGGUGAAUACGUUCCCGGGCCUUGUACACACCGCCCGUCACACCAUGGGAGUUUGUUGCACCAGAAGCAGGUAGCUUAACCUUCGGGAGGGCGCUUGCCACGGUGUGGCCGAUGACUGGGGUGAAGUCGUAACAAGGUAGCCGUAUCGGAAGGUGC
rnacentral:rRNA from 1 species